GAUGAACGCUGGCGGCGUGCCUAAUACAUGCAAGUCGAGCGAACGGACGAGAAGCUUGCUUCUCUGAUGUUAGCGGCGGACGGGUGAGUAACACGUGGAUAACCUACCUAUAAGACUGGGAUGACUUCGGGAAACCGGAGCUAAUACCGGAUAAUAUUUUGAACCGCAUGGUUCAAAAGUGAAAGACGGUCUUGCUGUCACUUAUAGAUGGAUCCGCGCUGCAUUAGCUAGUUGGUAAGGUAACGGCUUACCAAGGCAACGAUGCAUAGCCGACCUGAGAGGGUGAUCGGCCACACUGGAACUGAGACACGGUCCAGACUCCUACGGGAGGCAGCAGUAGGGAAUCUUCCGCAAUGGGCGAAAGCCUGACGGAGCAACGCCGCGUGAGUGAUGAAGGUCUUCGGAUCGUAAAACUCUGUUAUUAGGGAAGAACACAUGUGUAAGUAACUGUGCACAUCUUGACGGUACCUAAUCAGAAAGCCACGGCUAACUACGUG
rnacentral:rRNA from 1 species